GAUGAACGCUGGCGGCGUGCCUAAUACAUGCAAGUCGAACGAAACUUCUUUAUCAGCGUGUGCUUGCACUCACCGAGAAGGGGAUGAGUGGGGAACGGGUGAGUAACACGUGGGCAACCUGGCCAAAAGAGGGGGAAAACACGUGGAAACAGGAGCUAAUCCCGCAUAACAAUAGGGAGCGCUUGGGAACUUUGGAAAAGGUGGCUAUCCUACCGCGGUUGGCUGGGUCGGUGGCGAAUUAGCUAGUUGGCGGGGUAAAGGCUGACCAAGGCAACGAUCCGUAGCUGGUCUGAGAGGAUGAUCAGCCACACUGGAACUGAGACACGGUCCAGACUCCUACGGGAGGCAGCAGUGGGGAAUAUUGGACAAUGGGCGCAAGCCUGAUCCAGCCAUACCGCGUGGGUGAAGAAGGCCUUCGGGUUGUAAAGCCCUUUUGUUGGGAAAGAAAAGCAGCAGGUUAAUCCCCCGCUGUUCUGACGGUACCCAAAGAAUAAGCACCGGCUAACUUCGUG
rnacentral:rRNA from 1 species